UUUUUAUUAAAAUUAUUUUAUUUAAAAUAUUGUUUUGUUUUAGAUGACUUCACUAUUGCUCUGUGGUUGAAGGAUAUGUUGACUUCUAAGCCCUGGAUUGACCCAAAGGUGAUGUGUAUUCUGAGAGGUCACAAUGGAGGGGUCACAUGCCUUGCUUUCAGUCCUGAUGGGAAAGAGUUGCUGUCAGGAGGAAAAGAUCAGGUACUUGCUCCACUGCCUAUUCAUUACUGGAAGAAAUUGAAGAAAAUACACAAUUUCUGUCAUACUCAAUUUAAUCACAAUCUUUUCUAAUAGGCUUUGAUGAUAUGGAAGGUAAACGCUUCUCCUCCAGUUCUUUCCCAGUCCAUUUCCAAUUGCCAUGGAGACUGGAUUACAGGAUGUGCUUGGACAUCAUCUGCUGUGGUGAGAAAGCCAUUUACAAAGUGCUGUUUAGUUCAUGUUAUCAGCAUCUGACUCUGUGUGUCUGUAACUGAAUACAAAACCUCUCUGUCACCUCAGCUCAGCUGCUCCAGUAAGCUGCGGAUGUGGGAUAUCCAAACAGGACGUUUGUUGAGAGAGAUCCUCUCUAGUUCAUCGCUGAGCACAUUGUGCUGUUGGGAGGAUUAUGUAAUGGCAGGCUCCACAGAUGGACUGCUGAUGGUUUGGAAGUGGGAAUCAGGGGUAGAAAUCACCAGGAUCCAGGCCCACAAGUCACGUCUCCAUCACUGCACUGUUGUCUCAGAUCUGGAAAAGAAUUUGAAACCAGAAGACUUACUGGUAGCUUCAGCAUCAGAAGAUGGAACUGUUAAACUCUGGCAUCCACUGCAGGUACAGCAUCACAACACUCUGCAUGGACACAGUGCAGAAAUCCAGUCUUUAGUGUGCAAAAAGACCGGACCGCCGGAGUUUCUCACUGUCUCAGCUGAUCGUUCCCUCAGGUCAUGGAGCGUCACCACAGCAAUGGGUAUGACAGAAU
rnacentral:lncRNA from 1 species